rnacentral:tRNA from 2 species
GGGCUGUUAGCUCAGUUGGUUAGAGCGCUUCCUUGACAUGGAAGAGGCCACAAGUUCGAGUCUUGUACAGCCCACCA